rnacentral:lncRNA from 1 species
CAACAGGUUUCCAAACAAUGUAUCGGCUUAAUGUUGGGGGCCAGGCCAUCUCACCGCAAGGUGAUAUUCGGCCUGUUCGCUUCAGCUUAUUCAUCCGACUUAUCAGCCACUAAAUAGUAUUUUUCUCUCACAACAAAUCAGCCGUUUCAGCUUUUCAGCCAGCUUAUAAGCUGAAGCAAACAGGUCCAUUGACUUUUACCGCCAAUGGGAUGAUGACAGUCCUUACAUAUAUGGUUCUGGUUUUGGGGUGUCCUUUGGGAAAGACAAAAACCUUUCCAUCACAUAUACACCCGGUGUACCAAAUUACACCGCACCUGUUGGUGUCUAUGAAUCUGCACGGUCAAUGGGGACAAAUGCACAGGUCAACCUGAACUCCAACCUUACAUGGAUUUUACCAGUUGAUGCGGGAUUCUUUUACCUGCUAAGGUUCCACUUCUGCGAGAUCCAGUAUCCAAUAACUAAGAUCAAUCAGAGGUCAUUCUUCAUCUACAUCAACAACCAGACAGCACAGCAGCAAAUGGAUGUCAUCGCGUGGAGCGGAGGAAUUGGCAGAACAGCAUACGGUGACUAUGCUAUUUUAACAAAUGGUUCCGGUCGGAUGGACUUAUGGGUUGCCCUUCACCCUGAUCUUUCGUCCAGACUAACGUUUCCCGAUGCACUAUUGAAUGGUCUUGAAGUCUUCAAGCUACAGAAUGAUGAACAUAACAGUCUUGCUGGGCUCGAUCCUCCCCUUCCAUCUGCAAGGAACCCGAAUGGUGCUUUACCAACAGCCAUUGGUAAGCCUGGUGGAAGAAACUCAAAAGGUGUUGCACAAGCAGCGGCUGGUGGAGCUGCUGGUGGCUUUGCUAUUCUGUUGUUUGCCUGUUUUGGCAUGUGCAUCAUCUGCAGGUGCAAGAAGAAUGUAGCAAAGGAUUAUGGAAUGACUGGAGUCAAGGGGAACAUGGAACCUCGUCAUAGAAACGUCACACCUGUUCCGGGAACACAGGAACAAUUUCGCCCUUGGCAUGUCACAAACUUUCGCAAGUAUCAUGCCACAUUCCUUGAUACUGUUCCUCAACCCGAUCGACCUGGGGACAUGGUGACUAUGGGAAGGACUAACAACAAGCACUUGAAUCAAAUUGAGUGCAACAAUAUGCCAUCAAAUCUAUGCCGCCACUUCACCGUCAAGGAAAUCCAGGCAGCUACCAAUAACUUUGACGAAACCUGCCUCCGGGCAAGGGUGGUUUUGGGAAUGUAUACCACGGAAAGUUAGAUGAUAGAGUUAAGGUAGCAAUUAAGCGUGGCAACCCACUAUCUCAGCAGGGUCCCCAUGAGUUCCGAACUGAAAUCGAGACUUUGUCCAUGCUCCGUCACCGCCAUCUUGUAUCUCUUAUUGGAUACUGCAACGAAAAUAAUGAGAUGAUCCUAGUUUAUGAUUACAUGGCGAAUGGUACCCUUCAGGAGCACCUGUACAACACCAAGAAGUCACCUCUGCAUUGGAAGCAACGCCUUGAGAUCUGUAUUGGUACAGCUCGAGGGCUCCAUUAUCUGCACACCGGUGCUAAGCAAACAAUCAUCCAUCGCGAUGUGAAGACUGCCAACAUUCUAUUGGAUGACAAGUUGGUGGCAAAGGUUUCAGACUUUGGGCUAUCAAAGGCCAGUCCAGACAUGGACGACACCCAUGUUAGUACUUUGGUGAAGGGCACCUUCGGAUAUCUUGAUCCUGAGUACUUUCGAAGAAAGCAACUUACCCAAAAAUCUGAUGUAUAUUCUUUUGGGGUCGUGUUAUUUGAGGUUCUGUGUGCACGCCCAGUGAUUAACACUCAGCUCCCGGAGGAGCAAGUGAGCUUGCGUGACUGGGCACUGUCUUGCCUGGAGAAAGAUGUCCUCAGCGAGAUUAUUGACCCUCAUCUCCAAGGGGAAAUAACUCCUGAGUGCUUCAUAAAAUUUGCAGAGAGUGCUGCUCAAUGUGUCGCUGAUCGUAGCAUUGACAGGCCAUCGAUGAGCGAUGUACUUUCGAACCUUGAGGUCGCUCGCCAGCUGCAGGAGAGCUCAAGGGAUAAAAGCAGCGGUGCUGAGGCGAUGGCGUCCCGUGCAAAGACAUGUGUGGAUUCUGCAAAUCCAGCAAAAGACUCAACAAUGAGUGUCGCAGGACAAGGAGUCGUCUUCUCGGAUAUCGCAUAUGCUGAAGGCCGAUAACCGUGAGCUUCAGGUCUAGUUUUUUUAAUUAAUACUCAGGUAUCACUUCUGGUUAGUCUGUAUGGUCCAUAACUGAUUUGGUGAUAUUGUAGAAAUUGCAGAGGACUGAAUGGCAUUAUCUAAUUAACUCAUCAAUGUAUUAGAAAUUUUUCUUAGCAUCUUUGCUUGAAGAAAUCUAAGACGCGUGAAUCAGUGAUAUGCUGCAUACAUACGGAUCCACUUAGGAAUCAUCAAACCCUGUAUGGCUGCUUGUAGAGGCAACAGUCAAUCUUGCGAAUGUUCAAUGUGCAUCCAGGAGCUGAAACAAUGGAACUAACCUAGUUUGUUAAUGAUAUGACCAAACCCCCCAGCAUUUGAGUGAUUGUAGCUCUUUCUAUUUCAGAUGUGCUAUUAUCCUUGUGUAGGUUCACUUUGUAGGAACUUGCCAUGCUUGUCCUCAAACAGAGUUGAGGAAGGACCACUGUUCCAUCCCCACCGAAGAUAUACCUAGUGAUUCCAGUUUAAAUUUAUGAGUGGUGCUUUUUAUGUAGAAUCAAGUAUGAGGAAUCCAGUUUUCAUUUCCUUUGUUUGCUUCUGUGAAAGAAGAUGCCAUCUUCUAUUGGUUAUAUGGUCCCGGACAGUAGCACAGUUACAUUAACCUCCACAGUUUAGGCUUAGAGGUUAGAGCCUUUGUUUUAGUUUUUCUUUGUUUUGAAAGACCCCUUUGUUUUAUUGAAUUGUUCACUCCUGUCUCCUGAACACAAACAUACCAAUCUCUCAUGAUGCUCACUUCCUGAGCUGGGCUCAUCAGUAGCAUGGACGUCCGUCACGAGUCGUUUGGUCCUUGUGCAGUUCAGGCCAUCCCACUUGUCUGGAGCAAUCGACAUUCAGAGUUCAGGCCUGUCUCCCUAGGAUACUCCACAAAUAUUUUUUUUAUCGCUAAACUAGCUAUGUGCAUAUCGGAAUCCUACAGAACUAAGUUUUUUUUUUACGACCGUGCCUUCUGCCUUGGCACGUUUUCCAUUAAGAGAGAAGAAAUAUUGUUACAUCCUAAGCUAUGUCAUACAGAGGAUGACACAGCUGCAAGAAAAGACAACAACUCAACAAGAAGAAAGGAAAAGCAGGCCAAAAACAAUUGGAGACUAUACGGCCAAAAACUAUUGGCGACCUGAUGUUCAUACUUCGUAGUUCGUAUCGUACUAAAUUCGUGUAUAUGGUAACAUUCAAUCGAUACUCAUGUUUUAGUGAAUUCGCUGUUCCACUCUGCUCCCAACAAACUCCCAAGCAGUAAGCGGCGAAGACAAAUGGGCCAUCAAGAGAACGGCCCCGCGUCAGCUGGCGCCGGCCCGCUCGUAGGCAAUGCCUGGCCCGGAGAAGAAAAUCACGAAACGGUGGUUGAACCUGAUCAAUUACAGCGGCCUCACCUCCCUGUAGCGUAGAGGAAUUUCCCCUCUAACGGUCGAACGACUACGGCGCAUAGAUUUCCAACCACUGAUCGAUAAAGUGGCGAGCAAACUGUCAAAGCGGAAGGGAAGGAACCUCACGCAGGCCGGCCGAUUAUGCCUCACCAAGUCUGUCCUAUCCUCACAACCCGUCUACACCCUAACGGCCCUCAGAACGCCCAAAGAAGUACCAGAGGACAUCGACAAAAUAAGAAAACGUUUUCUAUGGGCGGGAGACAACGAGCUUACCGGGGAAAAAUGCAAGAUCAACUGGACGAGGACAACUUUACCGAAAGAGCAUGGCGGCGUUGGAAUUCUAGACCUUCAUAAAUUCGCAAGAGCGCUCCGCCUUAGAUGGCUAUGGCAUGAAUGGGCUUCCCCGGACAAGACGUGGGUCGGAACCGAAACACCAUGCGACGACUGAGAUAGACUGCUUUUCGCUGCAUGUACGACGAUCCAAAUCGGCAAUGGGGACAAGACACGUUUCUGGCAGGAUGCGUGGGUAGCAGGCUGGCGACCAAAGGACAUCGCUCCACAACUCUACGCAAAAACCAAAAGGAAAAAGAAGACAGUGCGAGAGGCAAUCCACAACAACAACUGGAUCAGAGAUCUUCAACACACAACAGGCCUUACAAACACCCUCUUGAACGAAUUCGUAGACCUAUGGCCUCUGAUCCAACAGUACCAAUUAAACCCGAGUCAGGAGGACGGAAUUACAUGGAAAUUCACCCAGAGCGGUCAAUACACCACCGCUUCAGCAUAUAAGGCUCAACUCCUAGGUAGCGUGAAGGCGACUAAUCUUGCAACAGUGUGGCAAGCCUGGACACCAGCAAAAUGCAAAGUUUUCGUCUGGCUAAUUCUCCAAAAUAGGGUCUGGACUUCGGACAAACUAGCAAAACGGGGCUGGGACCACACCCCAACAUGCACCCUAUGCCGAUGCACGAUGGAGACUGCGCAUCAUCUCCUAGCCGAAUGAAGAUACACAAAGCAAAUUUGAAAACUCGUGGCCCAAUGGUUGUCACAAGAAAGCCUGCAACCGGGUCAAUGAAAGCACAGCAUAACGGCCAUAGAUUGGUGGACCAAUAUCACAUCAACAAUAGGAAUCCCGCGUAAAGCGUCCCGAAACCUCGCCCUCCUCAUUAUGUGGGAAAUAUGGAACGAGCGAAACUCCCGUAUCUUCCGCCACCAGGGUUCCCCGAUGACAUCACUAAUGACGAAAAUCAAAUCCUCAACCAACAUGUGGGUAGCAGCGGGAGCGAGAGGCCUAGCGGCCCUUCUUUACUAAACACAACACUCUGGGUGCCUCCCUGCUCUUUUUUCCUUUUCCUUUUUCCCCUCCUCUAUGAAUGAAAUAGGCACACUCUCGUGCCCUCUUCCGUUCAAAAAAAAUUACAGCGGCCUCCACGCGAGUGCGGCGUUGUACCGUUGAGCACCGGCCGCCGCCACUCGAUGGCCUACUGCGGUCGCCAAGAAGGCGCCCGCGAGCGGCGCCGGCAUUGGCACGGCCACUCAGGGCGAAGUGACGAGUCGAGCUCGAGCACCGAUGCGGGCGGGGUGACUGGAUGGCGCACGCACGCAUGAGUUGGCGUCGUCCGCAUGCUCAGGGAGACUGCGCACAGGCGAAGGUGAGGCCGCGAUCCUCUUUCACGGCGUGUUGCCACCAUGGCGCGCUUUAGCUGUUCGAUGAAAUGCCUGCACUGAGAACCAGUAUCAAAUAUGGAUCCGUAUCCUCUGCCUUUGAGGCCAACGGGGUGCAUUUCCAAACCUUAAUGCAUUCUUUGCUUUGUAGGUGCUGUAUAUGCACCUUUAUUAUUUGCACGUUUUCAAACACGCACUUGCAUAGUUGGCUAGUUGCAUAGCAUUGCACGGUGUCUUUACUUGGCUUGCUUGUACUUGUGUAAUGUAUCUGAUAUGUGUUUAGUACUUUAGUUAUACUUGUUUACCGUUCAAAGCAGAUGAACAUUGACUCGACAGCAACCAAGCACUCGUUUUGCAUAAAUCCAAAAGUCCUUCUGUUCCACUUGCAUACAUUGGACAGUAUCUUCCAAAGGGUCUAGCUGCCAUUCAGUCGAACCCACGACUGAGACUGGGAGGAUGUAAAUUUUGUCUAUGAAUGUGACAUGAGACUUCCAGCAGUCCACACAUACAGUUAUUAACAAUAAAACAUCAAAUCAUCAAUUUGAUGUACUGGAAAUGUAGAUGAUUGUAGGUGAUGUACUUUCCAGGUUUUGCAUUAACAACAGAAGCAUCUCUAGCUCUGAUUGGUUGAGUCAGCAAUCGCCAACCAAACACUUAGUCUCGGUGUAACCCCAGAUAUUUUUGAGUUUUCCAUCAGGAUUCAUGACUUGGGAGUCCAGGCCAUCUCAAAAAGAAAAGUCCAACUUGUAAACCAAAUUUAAAUUUGAAAGAAAAAACAUUGUAGUCAUAGUUGAUUUGGAACCAUAGAUGAUGAUUGCCUAAUGUUCAAUUAGCAUGCCCACUGCAGCCUUUCAGUUCCAACUAGAAGCAUCUCUACUUCUGAUUUGCAGUUUUUCAUGUUAUAUUGAGCAAAUUAUGCAAAGGCAACACACCAGAUUGCCAAAACAAAAAGGUAAAAGGAGAAGAAUCUAUGCAGCCUUUUUUAGAAAAUUGAGAAAGUAGUAUAUCCACAUAAUUUUGCAUUAGAUUAUUCUUUCUGGCUUGGAAAAUUGAAGUACUAAAAUUGAAUCCCUCAAAUCAAAAUAUGAAAAUUAAUAAAACAACAGGGGCUUGUUUGUUGGCAAUGGCCAAGGUAAGCUCCCUGAGCUUACUCCCUCACCCACACACACUCAGGCCAGAGGUAGAAGAAGGUGAGAAAGAGCACAGCACACACACAACUAUCUGUUGCUGCUGAACUGCGUGAGCUGCAGGCCUGCAGCUGCUCAUCCACUCUUUAUAGAGCACAAAGUCAAAAUAGAGUACACAAACCUAUGAGUGUAUCUACCAACUACUAGUACUAUAUACAUGACAGGGCUUACUGCCCACUACUCACGGCACUGCUGCCUUACACGGCAGACAGUGGCCAUUCAGGCCAUUCAGCCGGCCAAGGAGCUCUACCUGCUCCAUUGACUUUGCAAAAGGAAGAGAGAAGCAAUGAGCUGAGCAAUUAACUAACAUUGUUCAUAAAAAUUUAGCAUCCGAUUCUUCUGCAAAGCUCCACCCCCUCAUCUCUUUACCUUCCAAAUUUUUUGACAACAGCUGCUCAGUCACCUAUCCUGCAGGAUAGCACACCUUCCUCAUCAGGUAACUUUAAGUUGUUAGCUUGUUUAUUGUAUCGUUUCCAGCUUCAGUUUUUAGCUCAUUUUGUAUUCUUUUGGCUCCUAGAUACACAGAAGCUCCUUAUUUCCUCAUCAGAUGUUGUAGUCUUUGAUUAACAUGCUUAUAUCUCAACUUUUAGCUUUUACUCGAUGUUUCUGUUUUAUUCUGUGAUUCAGGCAGUGUGAAGAUCUUUGUUGUUACUUCUUCACCAUGUGUACUGUCUAAGACCAUAAAUUUAAUCAUGAAUGUCUUUUUAUAAGCACAUGAUUUUUCUUAGGCCUAAUUUUGACUGAAUAGCUCAAAAGUCAGAAGACAUCUUCCAAAACAUUUGGGGCUGUUUGCUUCGGACCUGGCAGGCAGCUCUGUAGCCAGGCAGCGAUCUCCACCCCAGGCUGAUGAAAUCAGACGCCUGGGGAAGCUGCCUGCGCCAGGCAGCUUUGCCAGGACACCAAGCACUUACUAUUGUGCACCUAAUUCUACAAGAUGCAAUCCUUAUAUUUUUGGCUCCCAUAUUAUUGUGCUUUUUUUUUGAGAAUCCAGGAGGGGUUGAGAACCCCUACUGAUUAAUUAUAUAUAUAGGUAAAAAAAGGUUCGAAACCAAGGAAUACAAUUAAGAAACAAAAGAGCAGGAGAAAAAAGACUGAAGACGAAAAAGAAGGAAAGAAGAUACAAGCGGAAAGAAGAAAAAAUUAAAGAGAGUGAAUCCAAUCUUCGAGCCGAGAACGAUGUCUUGAAUUGAUCCGGAGCAAGAGAUCCUUGAGUUCAGAGACAAAUUUGUGCUUACAAUCCAAGAUGAGAGGAUCAAUAUUGUUGAACAUCCAGUUGUUUCUUGUUGUCCAGAUGCUCCACUCCAUCAGGAUUAUAAUCUCCAUCGAAAAUGGUGUUCCUAAUUUCCUUCUUAUUUGCUCUAAUAUGUUCAAGAUCGUCCUUGUAUGCACAUAAGUAAUCCCAAUGCUUCUCCAGCAAGCCUUUGCAAAGUUGCAGCGGAAAAAUAAAUGAUAUGUAGUCUCUCUUUUUUGUCUGAUGCAGAGCUCGCAGUUGUAAGACUCCAGUGCCAUCUGUCUUCUUCUUAGAAGAUCUCUCGUGUUUAGUCUGUCCACAAGCAGUAGCCAGAAGAAGAUUUUGUGUUUCCUUUGACAUUUCGAUUUCCAUAGCCAUUUGAAUGCUUGGUGUACAUUCCUAGUACCCAUGAUGGAAUGGUAUGCCCUUUUGGUAGAAAAUAUAGGUGAUCCCCAUAUAUAGGACCAAAUGUCAUUUUGUAAGUCCAAAUGAAUUUCGGCGGUCUGAUGUUGCAACAUCAUCAACUGGUCAUGUGCCUCUGUUGACAGUGGAGUGUUAAAGUUUUCUAUGAAAUUUGCCUUUUCUUUGACUGACUUGAAUGAUGCAUUUGUGUCCCUUGCAAAGGAGAGAAGUUCUGGAAAGAGUUGUGCUGGAAUGCCCCCUUGCCACAAGUCAUGCCAAAAUAGCACUGUAGAGCCAUUUGCUAUUGUAGCUGACGCAAUUCCUUUAUAUUUAUCUUGAAGUUUAAGAAUGUCCUUCCACCAAAAGGAACCUCUACUUUGCCCUACUGGAAGCUUUCCAUUUGAGUAAUAUUUGUUCCAUAGUAAGGUUACCCACGGUAUGUCUUCUUUGGAGUAGAAUUUGUGUAGAAAUUUCAUUAGCAUGGCUUCAUUGUGUGCAACUAUGUUUAUCACCCCUAGACCGCCAUUUUCUUUAGGGUGACAAACCAUAUGCCAGGCUACCUUUGAUGGCUUUGUAGAGUUUGGAUCUAACCCCCUCCAAAGGCAAUGUUUUCUGAAUUUAUCAAUCUGAGCUAUUACUCCCUUAUGCAAUUUAAUAGUCGAGCAAAAGAAAACCGCUGACGAGGAAAGGACUGAGUUAACCAUUUCAAGUUUCCCUCCUUGGCUGAGAAACAUAGACAUCGAAUUCAAUCUUUUCUCCAUCCUUUGAAUGAGCGGCAUGAAGUGCUCGAUCUUGGGUUUGACUAACCCCAAUGGCAGACCCAGAUAGGUGAAAGGGAGAGAUCCUUGCUGACAUUCAAAGCUUUGUGCUAGAAAUUGUAGUCUUUCUUCUGUAAUAUUGAUAGGCAUCAUCACAGAUUUAGUGUAGUUGACUUUGAGGCCAGUUGAUAGAGCAAAAAUAUGUAAGACUUCCUUCAGGACCCUCAACUGAUUAGGACAGGCUUCCAUGAAGAGAAGAGUAUCAUCAGCAUAUUGAACUAUUGGAAAAUCCAUUCCUGCCCCUUCCUGGAUAGGGAGAUUUAAAUUCCCUAAUUCCUUCUCAUGAUUAAGAAUAGACUGUAAAACAUCCACUGCGAGUACAAAUAAAAGAGGUGAUAGGGGAUCUCCCUGCCUCACUCCUCUUUUACAGUGGAAGAAUUUCCCCGGCACUCCAUUCAAAAGGACUGAAGAUGUCCCAGAACCAAGGAUUUGUUGAAUCCAUUGAACCCAUCUGCUGCCAAAACCUUUGUGCUUUAAGAUUUCUAUGAUGGCUUUAUGCUCGAUCUUGUCAAAUGCUUUUUCGAAAUCCAGCUUGAGAACCACUAUUUGUUUCUUCGACUUUUUGCAAAUAUGUAGGAAUUCGAAGGCCCAUGCUAGACAAUCUUGAAUAUUCCUUGUUUUGAUGAAGCCAUAUUAAUUUUUGUGAAUAAGAGACCUUAUGACUUGCUGCAGUCUCUGAGCUAGGAGCUUUGUUAUUAAUUUAAUGGUUGAGUUAAGCAGGGAUAUUGGUCUAAAAUCUCCAACAUAUAGAGGACUCUCCUUUUUCGGCAGUAAGGCUAUGAAAGAGGAGUUGAUACUUUGUAAGCAUAAAUCCCCAUGAAAGAAGCAUUGAACUAGAUUGUAGAAAUCUUGUUUGAUAAUAUGCCAUGUUCUUUUAAGGAACUCUCCAUUAAAUCCAUCUGGUCCUGGUGACUUAUCAUUUGGCAGCUGUGCUAUAACAUUGUCAAUUUCUUCUUCUGAGAAUGGUUCUUCUAGCCACUGAAGGUUUGUCUCUCUUUGUAGUAAAAGUUGUAAAUCAAGAUACAUGUGAGUGUAUUCUGAUGUGCCCAUUCUUUCUUUGAACGAUUUCCAUAAUAAUUCAGCUUUUGUUUCAUGCUCUGUUAUUUGUGUUCCAUUCUCCGAAAAUAGAUGUGUAAUAGAAUUCUUCCGGUUUCGAACUGAGGCUUGUGCAUGGAAGAACCUGGUGCACUCAUCUCCCGACUUGAUCCACCUGACUUUCCCCCUUUGCUUCCAGUAGAUUUUUUGCUGAUGUAAAAGAUUUUCCAGAUGCAGCUGUAUUUCUUUCCUGAAAAUUUCAUUCUUCAAUGGUUAAAUCCCUAGAUUCUUCAAUUAUGUCCAUAAACUGCAAGAUGGUUUUGUUGUUUUGAAUUGUAGAGGUUAAAUUUGGCAACUGGGCUUUCCAAGCUUUCAAGACUCGACGUAGGUUUUUGAAUUUGGCAGUUACUCUUUUAGCCUGGUCCAAAUGAUCCAACGGCAAAUUCCAAGCAUGCUGUAAUAUGGGAGUAAAGUGCUCAUGUUGCAACCAAUAAUUCUCAAAACGAAAAGUGGCCGGCCUGGGCAUCUUCGUUUGCACAGAUAUGACACAUGGGGUGUGAUCAGAGAUGUCUCUAGAGAGAGCCAUUACCGUUGAGUUAGGGAAGAAAGUGGUCCAAGCUAUCGAAGUGAAAAACCAAUCCAGUCUCUCUAGGAGAGGAUUUCUCUGUUUGUUUGUCCAAGUAAAGCGGCAUCCCUUUAGGGGCAAUUCGAUGAGUCUUAAUUUGCUAAUGCCAUUGUUAAAAGCUAACAUUUCUUGACAGUUGGCCCCUGGCUUAUUCCGGUCUUCCGGUCUUCUCAAGAGAUUGAAGUCUCCGACUAUCAGCCACUUAUCCUCAUCUGCAAUGUCGAUUUCUUUAAACCAUCUGAUGAAUGUUGCUUUCCCUUCCGGAGUGCAUGGAGCAUAUAUAUUGGUGAGGUACCAUGAAUACCCAGAUACUAAACAAUUGAUUAGUACUGUCUGAGCAUAAUCAUUCUGAAAUUCAAGAUUUGCACAAAAUUUUGAACUAUUCCAUACAAUGAUGGAACCUCCUGAGUUUCCUACCGAGGGUAGAAAGACAAAGGCAUCCAUUUGAGGGGGGCAGAACUUUUUAAUAUAUCCGGAGUCAAUCUCCUCUCUUUUUGUUUCUUGUAAACACAGAAUGUCACACCCAGAUUCUUUAAUCUUGCUAUUGAUAGCUUCCCAUUUUGCUAUAGAAUUUAAUCUCCUGAUAUUCCAAGAAAGAAUGACCCAAGUUCUAUUUCUUUGAAUUUGAUUCAUAAUAGAUAUUGGAUGGGUUCUGUGAAUUCGGGAGAGCAAAUCCUACUACGAUUAACAUCUGUCAAAGCCUUGCUCAUGUUCUGUAGAUAACAAUACGACAUUGCAGCCAGGAUAAUAAAGUUCCAGCUAACUUGCUGAAUAACCUUCCAGACAACCAUAGACAUCACAUUGUUCGAAGGACGAGUACCCAUAACAAAAUACAAAGCUGGAUGAGGUGUUAACCUCUCCACAGAAUUCCAAACAUUGUUUGACGAUAUAAGAAAAGGUAGAGGGAAGACAAGAUUCCAAAAAGACCACAAAGAUUUCAGGACCUGGAGCCUGUACCCGAGCACUCCCCUUCUUCCAGAUCCUGGGACAUCUCAUCCUUCUUGUUUUUCUUGGAUCCUGUCCCUUCUUUGUCACCUAUCACCUUGACUUUAACUAUUUUCCUCCUGAGCUUUUCAUUAGAUAAGGUUCCUUUGCUGACUUUGUAGAAGUCUUCUCCCAGGGCUACCAACGUUUUUGUGGGGAGACUCGGAGGGACUGCGGCACAUGCAAGGCAGUUCCUGGAAGUGCAGCUGGAGUGCUUGAAACCUGCAUUCCGAGUCCUGAUUCUUGGACUCCUCCUGGCUUCUGUUUCCACCAAUGGUGCUGAAACCUUUGUUUUUUUCUGGCCACGAGAAUUAGAGUCAGAGUUAAAUCUAUUCUCAACUUGAUCUUGGACAGGACUAGAGGAACAAAUAAUGUUUGCUUGUUUGGGACAAGAUUUUGGUAUUGACAUAGUCACAGUUUUACUGUUACUGGUACCCGUUAAUAACAGUUGACUUGCUUUUGAGGAUAAAAAGGAGCAUGCCCAUUCAAACUUAUUGGAGUUCAAAAGGUUGAAAGUAAAGAAAGGUGCCCAUUCGUUGGGUAAAGUGAUCACCUUUUCUGGGGAACCAUCCACUGUGAAGAAUCUAUCCCAUAGUUGUUGCAGGUCUGGACUGGUGCUCCUUGCCUUUUUCCCCUCCCUCAGCCAGUCAGCCCAUCCAGGAUCGGCUACAGAAUUGGGAAGAGCUUCUACCCUGAACAUGUUGAGGUUGAAGUCGUUGUUUGGCAUGUUAUCUGGGCCUGCCUCUUGAGCUGGUUGAAUUGGGUGAAGGAAUUCCGGCAGGUAGUUGUCCAGUUGCAUGUUCUGGGCCUCCAUAGCUGGCUCUUGGGGCUACAUCAUGUAUUCAUUAUUGGCCUGCCCAGGUUGAUGCCCUUGAAUAUUUUGGAUGGCGGGAAUGGCCAGGACAAUCUCCUGUACUUGGACUUUCUCCUCUUGUCCCUCAUUUUGCUGGGUAUCUUCACUUAACAACUUUCCUUGUUUGUCACUGCCUUCUUCAGUCGAAGAUGAAUUAAGAGGUGCAGACAGGCUCAACUGCAAGUCCAUCUCUAUCUGUCCUUCUUCAUGCUGAAUGUCUCCUUGCUCAGGUGCUUGAUCCUGAAGAUCAUCCAUCAGCAUUUGCAUCUGCUCCUGUAUAUGUUCCUCUUCAUCAGGGUCUUCAUUAAGAUCUGGGAGCUGGUCGACUUGUUGGUUGUUCUGUGCUUGUUCCAGAAGAUGCUGCUCAUGCUGCUGGUGGUGGUUUUGUAGAUGUUGUUCAUGCUGUUGUGGCUGAUUGUGGAAACCAGGGAAGAUGAAAUUGUCCUCAAAUCUUGGAGGUGGAAUAUCUUCAUCCUGCAAGAACCCACCUAGAGGAUUUUGCUGCAUUAUUUCUACCUGUACAGUUGUUGAAACACCUUCAAAAUCAUCACCUUCUGAGAAAAUCAAGUAAUGUGGCACAUCCUCCAAAUCAGUUACUCUCGCCUUCACCACCACCCUGGCCAUGAUGUUGUCUUUCUGCCAGCAUAUCAGUCUCCCAAAAGAUUUAAUGGCAUCUCUAAUAUCAUCAAGAUUCCGAGAAUCCAAAGGGUAUCCUAUCAAAAGCAGCCAGCAUUCUCUGUUGAACAGUACUCUCCUAGCAUUUGGCCCCCUAUUGUGAUGCACAAAGGAAAAGGACAAUCCAUUCCGAUUGAAAGGACUGUGUUGAACCAAAGCAUCUCUAUCUGUUGCUCGAUUUAAUCUGAUAAAAGCUUGAGCUCUAUGAAAGGGGCAGCGCUGGAUUUCUUGGAUAUGAAGUUCCAACUCAUCCUCUAUCAGGCCGACUACUGCAUUUUGGACGUCGGCAAAAGGAAUCUCACCGGGAGGGAAGUUGCUGACGGUGACGAUUGCUAGAUCUUCAUUCCCUGGUGGUGAUCUUGGAGUAACCACCCUGGUGAACUUUGGUCUUCCUUGAACCAGAACACGGUUGAAUCCAGGGAACAUCAGAGGUUCAGGAUCGACAUUGAGGAAGGCCAUCUGUGUUGGUUGAUUCAGACUUUCGCCGGAGAUUGCGAGGAGGGGAGGGGCUUGUUCUUGGCGAAAGGGGACUAGUUGCUGAUCGGUAGUGGGAAAUGAAGUAGCCGAAGGGACGUUUCCUUGAUAUCUGCGCGCUACCUGCCCCAACUCGGUCAAGGAGGAGCAAACUGGUGGGCUUGAGUAAAUAGGCCCAUUGUGUGUCUCGAGACGGCCUUUGAACCAGUUAAGCCCAACGCCUUUAGGCCAUUUACUUACAGCAGAGACCGGUGAAAAGUUACUCGAAGGCGCUGCAGUGAAAGAGGCUUUAAACCUCUGUAAAUCUAGCCAAUUAAGACACUUUUGGAACCUAUGCCCUGGCUGCUUACAAUGCCAGCAAGUAGGCUGUCUUGAGAAGGCCCUAAGCAGGUGGUUGGAGGUUGCUCUUUCUCCUUGGCCACUGUGAACAGUAGCAUAGUCUGAUAGAAUCCUCUUCCCAGAUUUUGUAUCAGAAGACUUUUGACUGACGUAGCUCUUCCUUGAAUUGUGGCUGAACCUCGAUACUUGUUGCAUUGGAUUCUGUAAUCUUUCAAAAACUGAUCUUCUCUCUGGGUACUGGAUUCUUUGGAAGACCGAGAGGCGAGGUAAAGAGAAAUCUGAUUCCGGGGAGGCAAGGCCUAAUCCUUUGGGAUUGAUAAGAGGUCUCCCCGAAAUACUAUCAGGCCUAGCGCCAAUCCUCUUAUUGUUAAUAGGAAUAGCAUUAGCCCCUGUUAGGGGAAUAUUAUGUCUAACCACUGAGGCAAAAGAGGGAGGCCUAUUCUGACCAGGAUGAAAAGAUCCCGAAGGAAGACGAGCUGGAAUUACCUGCUUCAAAGAUGAGCCUUUAUUCUUGUAUGUCACAGACUGCCAAUGGUAUGAGGGUCCAGAAUCCAUCUUUGCAAAAUGUAGAGCUUGAUUGAAUUCAGUAGAAAAAAGGAUAGCUUGAAGAAAUCCGAAGACAAAAGACCCCUAUCAAUGAUGAGAAAACCCACUUCCCUUGAGCUGACUGUGAAUUUGAAAACCUGAUCCUCCAGUUCUUCAGCCUGGAAGAGGUCAUAGUGGCCACCCAAAACAGAUUGCAAGCAAACGUUGACAGAGUCUGAGGUGAGAUGAAAUCUGUUUUGACUAAAAGAUACUAGCAGGUGAAAGCCUUUUCCUGCUAGCUUCCUAUCUAGAGUUACCUUUGAGUUAAGGCAAUCCUGAAUCCUUUUCUCAAAAGCAAUCCCAAUGCCAAAAUUAAAUUUGGAGGAAUCCAUCCGGAAUGAACAAGGCAAGAGAAAGAAGGACCAAAGCCAAAGGCUACUCAACUUUCCUCAAGGAGCCAAGAACGUAACUUGGCAAAAAAGGAAGGUUGGGAUCAAACAAAAGCCCGCAACGAUCAUGAGCGAAGGAUGGUUGAUGAAGGACCAGUUUUGGAAGAAGAUAGCUUUUGAAGAGAGUGAACGACGAAAACCGAAACUAAAGACAUAGGGUCUAGCUCGUGCCAAGGCAAGAUAUUCGCCUUGAGCUAAAGGGCAACAACAUGAUCCAUAACAGAUUACCUUGCCGUCAAGCACUUCCUAGGGAUAGAGGAUCUUUGCUCGGUAGAAACACUUAAGACUGCCAUCUUCCUCUAAGCAACCAAAGAUGUCACCUCCAAGAGGUGAGAAACUUGCAGAGCCCAGUGAAGCCUGGGUCGCCUUCGUCAGGAAGGGGAAGCCAGGCUUGAGAUGGCCGGCGAAGUCGAAGAGACUGAUGUCGGGUGGGAGGUGGACGCCGGGACCGGAGUGGUCACCGGCGGGAGAGAGCACUCUCUCUCAGGCUCUCUCAGGCUCUCACCUGAUCUUCGUGCUUCCUUGGUUCGAACUAGCACUGCUCCUCCCUAGAUGCUUGCUAGUUUUUCUCAAAUCCUUCAUGGUUUGCUUGCAGUCGGCAUCUGGGCGGUUAUCAGACAGCAACUCAAGCUUAAAGUUUCUAUAUUAUUGUGCUUGCUACAAUCAACUCAUGCAGAGGCCGAAAAAAAAACACUAAUCCUUUUCUAAGGAAAAAUUCAACUCUGCUGGCUCCGACCAAUGUUUGUCGAAAGCCUUGACCUUACCUUUGAUCCAUCACCCGAAGGCUCCUAUACAUUUGAAAAUGGUACCAAAUCGUGCCGAUGACUGGCGUAUUCACAAAACCAGUUCUAAAACUUGCCAUUUGCCAAUAACAAAAAGGCCUUUUCCAGUAAUCCUCUUCAGGUAACACCUCAAUGUAGGGUCCCACACGUUUCCACAAAAGAUGAUUUAGGGAGUGUUUGGAUACCAUGUGCUAAACUUUAGCCGUGUCACAUCGGAUGUUUGGAUGCUAAUUAGGAGGACUAAACAUGAGCUAAUUAUAAAACUAAUUGCAGCCCCUAGGCUAAUUCACGAGACGAAUCUAUUAAAGCUAAUUAAUCCAUCAUUAGCAAAUGGUUACUGUAGCACCACAUUGUCAAAUCAUGGACUAAUUAGGCUUAAUAGAUUCGUCUCGCGAAUUAGACUCUAUCUGUGCAAUUAGUUUUGUAAUUAGCCUAUGUUUAAUACUCCUAAUCAGUAUCCAAACAUCCGAUGUGACAGGUGCUAAGCUUUAGCACGUGGGAGCCAAACAUGCCCUUAUUCAACCUCUUUCACCUUGUUGGACAAUGUUUUUUUAGAUAAUGAAGAAGUCCAUUUGAUCCUCCAAUUACCACAAGAGUCCGUAUUCAACUCCAGUACCAGACAGCAUUAGCCGCUGAACUUUGGAAACUGGACAAAGACCUCCCUCAUCCAAUAGAACCAGGUUUUGGUGCUGAGUUGGCAAAAGUCUCGGUAUCUGGCUGCUGACAUGGCAUAUUCAUGGCAGUGGGGACCACCUUUCACCCUUCACCUCAUCUCUUCCUCUUUUUCGAGAAUACGCAGGAGAGCUGCGUAUCUUUGUAUUAAGAAGAAGAGUAAUAAAAAGUUUUACAAUGCUAGCCAACCGGGCACACGCACACGGUUUGAUUACUUAGAGUUCUAUUACAUAGGAACUGAAUCAACUAGAGAUACUUCUGAUGAAGGCCAAGAAACUAAGAGGAUCCUAAACCUCCUACUCCUUGUACUGCAGCCGGCCAUCCCAAGGAAACCAUAUGCUUAGCGCCAGCUUCGAUCCAUACUUGAGCCUCUUCGAGGAUCCCAUAUGUCAAUUGUGCCGCAGUUUUUGUUUGAUUUCUGCUAAAUACUCUGUCGUUCCUUUCUUUCCAAAGUUUCCAGGAGAUCAACAUGAAUGUGGAGUCCAAUCCUUUCUUCUUGGAUUUGUUCAUUCCCAGCCUCUUUUGCAGCCACCAUUCUAUUGCUGUCAGUCCAGGACUAGGAGCUGGGCAUUGCAGGCUCAGCAUUCUGCUGACUGCGUGCCACAUCUCCUGGGUAUAGCAACAUGUAGCGAAUAAGUGGUCAGCUGUCUCCAAUUCCUGAUCGCAAAGUGCGCAUGCUGUGUUGUCCUGCAGCCCGUGCCUGUGUCUCCUAUCUGCAGUCCACAACCUAUCUCUGACGGCCAGCCACAUGAAGAAUUUCACCUUCAGCGGCGCCCAAGUCUUCCAGAUAGCAGCAGCUGCAGGAAAAUGCGUCACUCCUUGGAAUAAGAACUGGUAUGCAGACUUUGCUGAGUAUGUGCCCGACGGGUCCCAUUUCCAGGAGAUGAUGUCUUCAGUUCCAGGCUGAAGUUGAAUCUCAUGCAUUGUGUGCCACAGCUGCACAUACUGAGAUAAAGCGUUAACUGUUAGUCAUCCGAUAAUAUCUCCCUGUUUGCUCGUGUGUUCCGUGUGCUCCCUCCACCACAGCGUUGUUCUAGGCAGGGCCAGUGUGAUGUUGACUAGGAUGCCUGCAACAACCCACACCAUCCGCCAUUUUUCUGCUCAACACCACCACACGUCCACACAGCAGCAGCAAGAAGAAGAAGGCAAGUGCUUGAUUAUUCCAGUGAAGGAGGGGCAGGUUGAGGUGGCUUGCUACUUACCGAGUUACCAUAUCUUACCUUGUUACACUCUGCAGCCUUGUCAUGCUCCCUUGCUCCCCACUUCCUGAGUUCCCACAUUCAUCACCUACAACCAUGACAUGAGUGCUGGAACGGUGGAUCGUUUCCACCAGAGCCUGCAGCCUCAUGAUUCAUGAAGUAGCCAGUGCCCACAAAGGCCCUACGGGUGGAAGCCCAGUGAUGCAGCUGGUUUAAGGUCAAUAAAAGAGGAGCAUGGCAUUGGACAAGCCAAGACAAAUAUGAGGAUGGUUGUGGCACAGCCAGAGAGACUCACUACUAGUUAGCCGGAAAAGGGCCAACUUUGGAGGACUGAAUCCGUUGUAGUCAAAUUUCAUGAUCGCUCUUAAUUAUUAUUUUGCAUCCUUUUAUCGUUGUUCUUUCUUUUUUGCGAAUAAUAUCGUUGUUCUUCUUGCAAAAGAACUAGUAUGCUUAAGUUGAAAUCUUUAUUCUCAUUGCAGGUUUUUAACGACCUGAAUCUGCCUUGUUGACUGAAAAAAUACUAGAAAAGUUCUAUCCCAACUGCCCUUCAUUUCCAUGGUUCUUUCUUGCUCAAAACCGCAGAUGAAAAGGUCUAAUUUUCUAGUAUGAUGCAGUUUUUCAUAGAGCUAUCUUACAGCAAGAUGUAAAGAGAUCUUCAAACUUAAUGUAUUCUUGAGACACCAACCACUACAAUGGCAUACCAGACCUUGCUAGUUACCCUCACAUGCCUAACAUUGCUAUGUAUCUUGUCAAUGGCCAUGGCAACUGAUAAAAACUCCACUGGAUCCGGCCAGAUCCGUCUAAAUUGUGGAGCCUCCAAUCCAACAAGUCCUGGUGCUGAUGGACAGACUUGGGACAGUGACACCGGUUCCAAGUUUGCGCCAUCACUGGAAGGCACUGCUGCCACUGCUUCUCACCAAGACCCUGCACUAACUUCCACUACGCCCUACAUGACUGCUCGCAUCUUCACUUCGAAUUACACUUAUUCCUUUCCUGUUGGUCCAAGCCGCACGUUUGUACGCCUCUACUUCUAUCCUAGCACUUAUGGCAACUAUUCUCCUUCAAAUGCCUACUUUGGUGUCACGGCAAGCAAUCUGGUCCUUUUAGACAACUUCAAUGCUUCCCAAACUGCUUUGGCAGCUAAUGUUGCCAGCUUCUUUCGUGAAUACUCUGUAAAUGUUACUUCAAGCAACCUACACCUUACGUUCAGCCCAUCUGCACACUAUAAUGGCUCUUAUGCAUUUGUGAAUGGGAUUGAAAUCGUGCCCACACCUGACCUCUUCACGACACCAACACCAACACUAGCAAAUGGUGGAAACCCAAAUCCAUUCCCCAUUGAUCCUGCAACAGGUUUCCAAACAAUGUACCGGCUUAAUGUGGGUGGUCAGGCCAUCUCUCCACAAGGUGAUGUUGACUUUUACCGCCAAUGGGAUGAUGACAGUCCUUACAUAUAUGGUUCUGGUUUUGGGGUAUCCUAUGGGAAAGACAAAAACCUUUCCAUCACAUAUACACCCAGUGUACCAAAUUACACCGCACCUGUUGGUGUCUAUGAAUCUGCACGGUCAAUGGGGCCAAAUGCACAGGUCAACCUGAACUACAACCUUACAUGGAUUUUACCGGUUGAUGCGGGAUUCUAU